AACGAAGAAACACUCGCAGCAUGAAGCGAUCAAAAUUGGACUUUCGUCGAAGGAACGUGGCGUUUUUUCCUCCUUUCGUCGAUUCCGCUACAGGAACAAAGAAACUAACGAAUGCCUCGGCAAACAACGAAACGUCCUGAUCUUACUACGCGUAGAAGCUUAGAAGACGCGCAGACGAGUCGACGAACGACACACGGAAGAAGGCAAGGACUUUUAAAGAUCUAAAGAGGAAGAAGCUAGACGAAGGAAGACAUCCUGCGAGUUUGUACGGUCGGCGUGGGCGCUUCGAGAAAAUUAAAUGAUUAUGGGUAAACGAUAUCAAAGGGGAGACGAGGCAGUGUGGGAGAAGAGGG